rnacentral:rRNA from 2 species
CUUGCUCCUGCAUGUUAGCGUCGGAGGGUGAGUAACACGCUGGGUAACCUGCCUGUAAGACUGGGAUAACUCCGUGAAACCGUGGCUAAUACCGGAUGGAUGUUUGAACCGCAUGGUUCAAACAUAAAAGGUGGCUUCGGUUACCACUUACAGAUGGACCCGCGGCGCAUUAGCUAGUUGGUGAGGUAACGGCUCACCAAGGCAACGAUGCGUACUCGACCUGAGAGGGUGAUCGGCCACACUGGGACUGAGACACGGCCCAGACUCCUACGGGAGGCAGCAAUAGGGAAUCUUCCGCAAUGGACGAAAGUCUGACGGAGCAACGCCGCGUGAGUGAUGAAGGUUUUCGGAUCGUAAAGCUCUGUUGUUAGGGAAGAACAAGUACCGUUCGAAUAGGGCGGUACCUUGACGGUACCUAACCAGAAAGCCACGGCUAACUACGUGCCAGCAGCCGCGGUAAUACGUAGGUGGCAAGCGUUGUCCGGAAUUAUUGGGCGUAAAGGGCUCGCAGGCGGUUUCUUAAGUCUGAUGUGAAAGCCCCCGGCUCAACCGGGGAGGGUCAUUGGAAACUGGGGAACUUGAGUGCAGAAGAGGAGAGUGGAAUUCCACGUGUAGCGGUGAAAUGCGUAGAGAUGUGGAGGAACAGCAGCUGGACGAAGGCGACUCUCUGGUCUGUAACUG